rnacentral:rRNA from 1 species
UGACCUACGGGAGGCUGCAGUGGGGAAUAUUGGACAAUGGGCGCAAGCCUGAUCCAGCCAUGCCGCGUGGGUGAAGAAGGCCUUCGGGUUGUAAAGCCCUUUUGUUGGGAAAGAAAACUUUCCGGUUAAUACCCGGAGAGAAUGACGGUACCCAAAGAAUAAGCACCGGCUAACUUCGUGCCAGCAGCCGCGGUAAUACGAAGGGUGCAAGCGUUACUCGGAAUUACUGGGCGUAAAGCGUGCGUAGGUGGUUCGUUAAGUCUGAUGUGAAAGCCCUGGGCUCAACCUGGGAAUUGCAUUGGAUACUGGCGGGCUAGAGUGCGGUAGAGGGUAGUGGAAUUCCUGGUGUAGCAGUGAAAUGCGUAGAGAUCAGGAGGAACAUCCGUGGCGAAGGCGACUGCCUGGACCAGCACUGACACUGAGGCACGAAAGCGUGGGGAGCAAACAGGAUUAGAUACCCCUGUAGUCC